ACCUGGCUGGCUCAGUUAGUAGAGCAUGUGACUCUUGAUCUCAGGGUCAUGAGUUCAAACCCCACAUUGGGUG
rnacentral:tRNA from 1 species